rnacentral:tRNA from 1 species
GGGGAUGUAGCUCAGUGGUAGAGUGCUUGCAAAGUAUGUGAAAGGCUCUGGGUUCUAGCCCCAGUACCUCCA